CUUGAAUUCUAGAGGGCAUUGGGGGUUGGGUGGCUUAGGGUGGCUUAGAGAAGACAGUGCAACACAAAAGCAUUUGCUAGGUUAUGGGGAGGGGUGUGGGGGGACGCUAUGCUUUAAGAGCCAUAAGAUGACUGGAGUGAUCACACAAAAAGGAGAUUUUCUAAUUCCAUUGGAGCUAUAAUCUGAUUUCGCUGUUGAGUACAAUGUCCCUUUCACAAGAAUCUGAAGUCAGUAUCAAGGGCUGCGCUGCAGAAGUUUUCCACCCAGCAACAGGAUGAUGUCAGCGGCCAGAAAGAACAACCAAUCAGCAAGCAGAAUGAAUUAGAGUGUACUGGGAUUUUGCUCAACUGUCUCCUAGCAAAGCUAGCUCAGCUCUAAAGUGCAGGGGCUAUUUGCACUUCCUCUGCACUUGAAGCUGAGACUGAAUGGCUUCUUAACUGAAAGGGUACCUAUGGAUGUGCAAACAGUUAUGAUUAUUUUUGUUGAAACAGUCCUAUGGGUAAUAAGAGUCAUAACGUUGCUUUUCUGCAAGUGUUGUUUUUUUUUGGGGGGGGCAAUGAAAAAGUCAACAUUAAUAAAUAUUUUAAAGGUUUGAUUUAUAGAUUUUGCCUUAUAAUUGUUUGGAACUUGUUUCAUGCAUUAAGUGCUGCUGAGCAGCUAAUGAGCUAA
rnacentral:lncRNA from 1 species